GUGUGUAAUGAUUGACAAAGAAAUCUUAAUUUACCAAAAGAAGAAAACAGAUCGUAAAUUAGUACAUUUAUUGCUUAUUACAUAAUUAAGAUUUCAUGUCACCAUAUCUAAUUCUAUGUCACCAUAGUGUAGUUACAAAUGAUUCACCAACCACUAUAAGUAUCUGAAAUAGAAUUUAUGACUUUGUGAAAGGAGCAUGUCCUAUUUCAUUUUCUUUUUGGGUGAAAGAGAUCUAGAGGAGUUCAGCUAAUUAAUCAAGUGUCAAUCAAAACCACACAAAACUGGAAACCCUAAUAGUAAUAUGGCAAAGAAAUUUGAAAAAAAUAUGGAAUAGAGGCACCACAUAUAUGGAUCUAUAAUAAGUAGUAGAACUGAGAGCAAUGCGCCAACAAACCAACUACCCUAUUUAAUUUUCUUCUUAAGCAUAUACCUAAAAAAACAAAAGACCAAUACCUUUUGUCAAACUUUGUUGACUAUGAAGACAUGCAUUAUUAUGUUGAAUCACCAACCAUUAUUAGCUCAUAAGUUUACUCAAUUAAAGUCAGAUCACCGAAUAGCUACUGCAACUUACUAUCAUGAUUUCAUAAUUUUCAAUUUUAUUUGUCGUUUAUUUUUUUUAGAUUCAAUCUCCGACCAUUGUUGCAUUAAAUCUGUACACACCUCUUUAUGAUUUCAUAAUUUUCAAUUUUAUUUGUCGUUUCUUAUUUUUAGAUUCAAUCUCCGACCAUUGUUGCAUUAAUUCUGUACACACCUCUUUAUGAUAUUUACUAUUGAACCUUUUCCUUUCCUUAUAUUUCCCUAAUUCACACUUUCAUUCAAAGUGAAUGUAGACCUCUAGGGAUUGCAGGCAUUUUCAAUUAGUAUGUUUUUUUUUUUCCAAUUUUAAUAUAUAUCUAACAAACACUAUUUCUCCCACAGAUGUAUGCAUGAAACAUGCCGACUCAAACAUGGAGCAACCCCCAGAUUUUCAGUUCCCAAAUAUGCCAAAUGAUAAGAAAGUCAUGAAGGCAACCUCAUCUAAUUUGAAUAUUUCAAGAACAUAACCAAAUUAUCAUAUGUUUGGGUUUAUUAUUUUUAACUUAGAUUCUUGUAAAUAGAUUUUUCUUUUAUUUUUUAAUUUCAUAUGACUUUUGCUUUAUUUUGAAAAAAAAAUAUUAUUCUAAAUCUUAAUUUAAAACUAAUUUAAGUUGGAAUAAAGUCAAACAAAAGAAAAUUACAAACCUUUUGAUCCAGCUGCCACUAAAAGAACAACUAUAUUUUACAUAUAUACUUUCGUAAAAGGCUAUACUAUUAUUUCCUCUUACAGUUAUACAUGUCAUAAGUGGUGCUUUAUGUCCUUCACAUACAAAUUCCUUUAUAAAUGCUAAUUAGCUAUGGACAGAACACAUUUAUACAUUCCAAGAAAUAAAAAAGAUUUUUAUGCACUAAUUCAUUCUAAUUAGAGAUGUACCUUGAAAGUGAAUGAGUUUAGCAUGGUAUCAUCAACAACACAAUUAAUGUUGACAUAGGGAUUUCAAGCAUGAGAUCUUCAAGUGCUGUGACUAUCCCCAAAACCUUCCCAGAAUUGGUUCAGACACCGAAGAGCGUGGGGGCCUGAAACAAUACUCUUUCAGAGACAGUCAUGGUGGAUUUGGCAGAUAUGGAGUUGGAAGCUUUCUAGAACAGGUUGCAUAAUAAAAAACAAAUCAUUUAGCUGUUAAUAUAACAAACUAGCAUCAAAGAUACAAUGGUGAAAAGUCAACAACACAGGAGGAAACAUUUGGAAAACCUUGAAUUUCCAUUUGACUUUAUUGAAUAGAUAUGCCACACAUAAUGAAAUUCAAGCAAUCACCACAUUUUCCUAAUAAUAGAUUUAUUGAGGUAAGAAUGAUUCCUAACAUAAUCACCUGAUUGUAACAAUAAUUUCACCGGGAAGCACAACACAACCAAUUCAUAUAAUAAAUUCCAAAUCACAUAAAACUAAGUAUUUAAAAAGUAUAAGUUUUUUGUGCUAUUAGCAAUUUAGGCCACAUGGAGAAUAUACAUUUCUCAUCCAUGAUUUUCAGCUUAUAGAUUGACUGAGAGACCAAGAUCAAUGUUUAUAGUAGAUUCAGCAAGUGAUAUGCAACUAGACUGCUAAACAAUCCUCAAAAUCAUUAGUUGGUCUGGAGAAGAAACAAAGACGAUAAUUCAAAUGAAGUUAGACAGUAUAAUCUAAAAUAAAAUAUAUUACGCAUUUCUAGUUAAGGAAUUGAGAAAUAUAUUGCAAUCUAAAAAUCAACAAUUGUAGAAGAGUUUAUCCUAUUUUAUUAAGGCCCUCAUGUACUGGAUUUACAUGUCUAUUGUGAUUAUGAUUGCACUCAAGAGCCUAUCAUAAAUUGCAAUCUUUUAUGACCACGAUAGGUCUCUAUCACUUUUAAAUUGACAUGUAUGCAUCUUUCUUCAUCACUCGGGCAAAGUUCAAGAAACAGUAAAAACAUGCCCCAAAUCAUGAAAAGGAUCGCAAUAAUUUGCACUACAAAAGAUGAAAUCUGAGAGACACCUACAAACAACGGUCGAGAGAGAAGGCAGGCAAGGACACAAACUUAUCAUGAGAAUGGACUCAAAAGGCAGAAAAGGCACAUGGUCAAUUGCAGACAGAGAGUGAAUAAAAGUUCAAGAGUGACAUAGGCUUGUGGAAGGUACUUCCACACUAACAAAAAAGAUUCUUGAGUAUUUUUGGAGAAAUUGAAAACGAAGAGAAAAAUUAGGGUGAAAAUGGAAACGCUAAUCGGAAAAGGGAAAGAAGUGUCACCUGUGUAGAGCACAGCGAAGCCGUGACCGGCGAACGGUGACGCGGAGGCUUUCAAAAUGGUGAUAUAUAGGCCUUCGACGGCGACGCGAUGGCCUGCGGUGGCCUGAGAGCAAGCACACGGUGGCUUGUGCCUUGCAAGCACGGAGAACGUGCAAGCUCUGUUGAGAAAGCUUCGUACAAAAAUGAUUGUGAUAGAUUAGGAUGUAUCUUUGUUAAAAUAGGAAAAAACCAAAAUAUUUGGGGUACAAAAAAAAUAAUUAUAACAUAAUUUAAGAAAUAGUUAAAUAUUAGCAACAAUUUUUCUAUAGUUUUAAUUAAAAAUAAUAAUAAUC
rnacentral:lncRNA from 1 species